AGAGAAGAAGCAACACAAGGAAAUCAAAGCCGCAUAUAAUGCGAUCUGUCCCUCUCUGCAGCCCAGUCCAACAGACACGCUGGGAUCUUUCGCUGGUCCACCUGGAAGUCCUCCUGAUCAUCCAUCCUCCAGCUCUUCAGAAGAACACAGUGUUGGCUUCUUGUCUGCUGAUGCAAACCUGGCUCCAACAUGCUCCUCAGAGGAGAUGACCUUUGACCCUGCAGGUACCUCUGCAGCGUGUGCUCUCUCAGGAUCCUGCAGUUGGUGAACUGGCUGAUGGGAGCGUCAGACACGGAUUUGUUGGACGGCAUCUUC